rnacentral:rRNA from 1 species
AUGGAGUGCUUGCACUCCUGAUGCUUAGCGGCGGACGGGUGAGUAAUACGUAGGUAACCUGCCCUUAAGACCGGGAUAACUCACGGAAACGUGGGCUAAUACCGGAUAGGCGAUUUCCUCGCAUGAGGGAAUCGGGAAAGGCGGAGCAAUCUGCCACUUAUGGAUGGACCUACGGCGCAUUAGCUAGUUGGUGGGGUAACGGCUCACCAAGGCGACGAUGCGUAGCCGACCUGAGAGGGUGAUCGGCCACACUGGGACUGAGACACGGCCCAGACUCCUACGGGAGGCAGCAGUAGGGAAUCUUCCGCAAUGGACGCAAGUCUGACGGAGCAACGCCGCGUGAGUGAUGAAGGUUUUCGGAUCGUAAAGCUCUGUUGCCAGGGAAGAACGCUAUGGAGAGUAACUGUUCCAUAGGUGACGGUACCUGAGAAGAAAGCCCCGGCUAACUACGUGCCAGCAGCCGCGGUAAUACGUAGGGGGCAAGCGUUGUCCGGAAUUAUUGGGCGUAAAGCGCGCGCAGGCGGUCAUGUAAGUCUGGUGUUUAAACCCGGGGCUCAACUCCGGGUCGCAUCGGAAACUGUGUGACUUGAGUGCAGAAGAGGAAAGUGGAAUUCCACGUGUAGCGGUGAAAUGCGUAGAGAUGUGGAGGAACACCAGUGGCGAAGGCGACUUUCUGGGCUGUAACUGACGCUGAGGCGCGAAAGCGUGGGGA